GAUAUAGUAGCUCAGUUGGUAGAGCUGGAAGCUUUUAACUUUCAAGUCGCAGGUUCGAACCUUGCCGGUAUCA
rnacentral:tRNA from 1 species